rnacentral:rRNA from 1 species
UUAUGAUAUAAAUUUAUUAAACUUGAGUAGUAAUAGUUAAGAUCUAUAAACUUAAAGAAUUUGGCGGUAUUUUAGUCUAUUUAGAGGAAUCUGUCCCGUAAUUGAUAAUCCACAUUGAACCUUACUUGAUUUAUUAAUAUGUAUACCGCCGUUUGUUGAAUAUAUUUUUAGAGUUUUAAUUUUCGAGAGAUUUAAUUAAAUAGGAUUUCAGGUCAAGGUGCAGUAAAUAUUCAAGUGGAGAUGGAUUACAAUAUUUUAAAAUGAUAAUGAAUUAUUUGAUGAAAUAUAAAUAUGAAGGUGGAUUUAAUAGUAAAUUUGUGAAGAUUAUAAGUUUGAUUAAGCUCUAAAAUAUGU